rnacentral:rRNA from 1 species
UGGGGAAUAUUGCACAAUGGGCGCAAGCCUGAUGCAGCCAUGCCGCGUGUAUGAAGAAGGCCUUCGGGUUGUAAAGUACUUUCAGCGGGGAGGAAGGCGAUAAGGUUAAUAACCUUGUCGAUUGACGUUACCCGCAGAAGAAGCACCGGCUAACUCCGUGCCAGCAGCCGCGGUAAUACGGAGGGUGCAAGCGUUAAUCGGAAUUACUGGGCGUAAAGCGCACGCCGGCGGUCUGUCAAGUCGGAUGUGAAAUCCCCGGGCUCAACCUGGGAACUGCAUUCGAAACUGGCAGGCUAGAGUCUUGUAGAGGGGGGUAGAAUUCCAGGUGUAGCGGUGAAAUGCGUAGAGAUCUGGAGGAAUACCGGUGGCGAAGGCGGCCCCCUGGACAAAGACUGACGCUCAGGUGCGAAAGCGUGGGGAGCAAACA